rnacentral:tRNA from 1 species
AUUUAAGUAGCUUAAUAUAAAGCUUAAUAUUGAAGCUAUUAUGAUAGGUUUUACCUCUUAAAUA